UACGUAGGGCGCAAGCGUUAUCCGGAAUUAUUGGGCGUAAAGAGCUCGUAGGCGGUUUGUCGCGUCUGCCGUGAAAGUCCGGGGCUCAACUCCGGAUCUGCGGUGGGUACGGGGCAGACUAGAGUGUGGUAGGGGAGACUGGAAUUCCUGGUGUAGCGGUGAAAUGCGCAGAUAUCAGGAGGAACACCGAUGGCGAAGGCAGGUCUCUGGGCCAUAACUGACGCUGAGAAGCGAAAGCAUGGGGGAGCGAACAGG
rnacentral:rRNA from 1 species